rnacentral:rRNA from 1 species
UCGGGCCUACGGGGGGCAGCAGUAGGGAAUCUUCCACAAUGGACGAAAGUCUGAUGGAGCAACGCCGCGUGAGUGAAGAAGGGUUUCGGCUCGUAAAGCUCUGUUGGUAGUGAAGAAAGAUAGAGGUAGUAACUGGCCUUUAUUUGACGGUAAUUACUUAGAAAGUCACGGCUAACUACGUGCCAGCAGCCGCGGUAAUACGGAGGUGGCAAGCGUUGGCCGGGUUUAUUGGGCGUAA